rnacentral:lncRNA from 1 species
CGUUGACUCUGGAAUUGAUAUAAAAAAUACAUUUCACCGACAUGUAUUUGAGUAUUGUCUUAGUUAUAUCUUAAACAUAAAUAGCGGAUUUUCCCACUAAAUGACUAAACAUUUCAGUUUCAAUUGAAUGUUCGUGUCAUGCUCCUAACAUCGGUGAACAUUCUAACUUAUUCUGAAAGCAGAGGUACGAUUAAAUAUUCC